AUACGUAGGGGGCGAGCGUUGUCCGGAAUUAUUGGGCGUAAAGGGUGCGUAGGCGGCCUUUCAAGUUGGAUGUGAAAUCCCCGUGCUUAACAUGGGAAUUGCAUUCAAAACUGGAGGGCUUGAGUGUGGAAGAGGUAAGUGGAAUUCCCAGUGUAGCGGUGAAAUGCGUAGAGAUUGGGAGGAACACCAGUGGCGAAGGCGACUUACUGGGCCACAACUGACGCUGAGGCACGAAAGCGUGGGGAGCAAACAGGAUUAGAUACCCUGGUAGUCCACGCUGUAAACGAUGAUUACUAGGUGUAGGGGGUAACACCCCCCCUGUGCCGCAGCUAACGCAAUAAGUAAUCCGCCUGGGGAGUACGGUCGCAAGAUUGAA
rnacentral:rRNA from 1 species